AAAAAUGCAAUGAAUGGGAUAAGUAAAUAAACUGCGCUAUUUUCAGAGAGCCGGGGGGUGGUGUGACUCGGUAGGCGUGCUUAUUGAAAUACCCCCGUGAGCAGCAGGUCGAAAGGUACCAAGUAGACUGCGCCGGAACGCCACCGUUAUCAUAGGCUAGGGUAUCGGAUUUCCUGUACCUGAAAAGAGCGGCUUGCUAUUUAGCAAGCAGGGUGGUACCGCGAGUAAAGUCUCGUCCCUGUA
rnacentral:ncRNA from 1 species